CCUACGGGGUGCAGCAGUGAGGAAUAUUGGUCAAUGGGCGCGAGCCUGAACCAGCCAAGUAGCGUGAAGGAUGACUGCCCUACGGGUUGUAAACUUCUUUUAUAAAGGAAUAAAGUGAGGCACGUGUGCCUUUUUGUAUGUACUUUAUGAAUAAGGAUCGGCUAACUCCGUGCCAGCAGCCGCGGUAAUACGGAGGAUCCGAGCGUUAUCCGGAUUUAUUGGGUUUAAAGGGAGCGUAGAUGGGUUGUUAAGUCAGUUGUGAAAGUUUGCGGCUCAACCGUAAAAUUGCAAUUGAUACUGGCAGUCGUGAGUACAGUUGAGGUAGGCGGAAUUCCUAGUGUAGCGGUGAAAUGCGUAGAUAUUAGGAGGAACACCGGCGGCGAAGGCGGCCUGCUGGACCGUAACUGACGUUGAGGCUCGAAAGCGUGGGGAGCAAACAGGAUUAGAUACCCUUGUAGUC
rnacentral:rRNA from 1 species